UGGUCACUGUUAACCUUGACCACGACAGUCACUGACCACCGACACGGACACAUCUCUUUCUGGACAAUGAUUAAGGCAGUACUUCUACUAGCUGUCAUCGGCAGUGCAUUUGCUCAAAGACAGUCUAUGGUUUAUACGUCAUUGCCAGCAGAUGGCGCUGCUACCAGCAGUGCCGCUACAGGUUCGGCAGCAGCUGAGCAUACUACAGGCCAUGCAGGAAGACACCCUAUAGGCCAUACCGGAAGGCAUACUGCUGGUCAUGCAGGACGACAAUUUGGAAACACAAACAUAUUCAUGCGCAUGCUCAACAACCCUAUAAGACUUUGCCGGGAGACCGAAAACAUGAGAGCCAUACCUUGCGCUAGGAAUAACGCCUGUAAUGUUGUGUCCAUGAUGGAGUAUGGAAUGCCCAACAUGUUGACAUGUAGCCCGAUGGGAAUUGGAUGUUGUGUGAAGGACGUCAUAUCCCUUCAUCUUAUCAAACAGUUAAGAUGAACAGAUUAGCUGGAAAUAAAGGAUUGGGCAAAGGUGGCACUGGAAUCAUAACGUAUAAACCCAGACGUCGGGCGAAUGCAAUGAAAUCAAACAAUUGUUUUAAUUUAUUCUUAUAUUUGUCCCAAACAAAACGAUUUAUUCCUUUCACUUUGUUAAAUAUAGACUGACUCUGUUUUGAUAUCGACUUAUUGUCCAACAUAAACUGCAUUUGUAUGACAAUUGCAAUAACUUAUUAAUAAUCUAUUGGAUCAAAUUAGAUAUUUGCAUUUAUUUAUGUAUGUUAUUGUUAUGUUCAAUACAUUAUUUCUUGCAUUUAA
rnacentral:lncRNA from 1 species